CUGCUCCUGGCCUUUGCUUUUUCACGAUGGAAGGAGUGGGACCCUGACCUGUGUGCUUACAGAAAGGUGAAGGAGAAGAAAGAGGGAGAAACCAAAGGAGGAGCAGCUGAUCAAGACUUCACACGUCCUGCUCAUUAUCCUCGCUUCACACAAGAGGAAGCGGGAAGGAUUGAUAGCACCCAAUUUUGUACAAGUGUUGCCCGAAGUGAAAUACCCGGCCAUGUCUGCUCCUGCAACGCUGCAGCUGUGCCAUGUCUGAGGCUGUGAGAGGAGAGACUUUAUAGGGCCUGAUAAAACCUUUUAUUAGACCCACAGAUCCAGCUGGAAUAGGCAGACAGGUUGUAGCUGCGUAGACCUGAAGAUGUGCCUAUAGGCUCUCAGGACCCUGCAUGCCUUCCCCGUUGCUGGAGGUGCUCCAGGCCAAGUUGGGCAACCUGAUGUGGUGAUUGGCAUCUAGCCCACAGCAGAUGAAAUAGCAGAGAUGGGGGAGAGCUGCAGUGCCUGCAGGUGGCAGGAAUGCCACAAACCAGGAGAAAGCUGGGGUUUGGUUGUCAUCAGAAGAGGAUCUCGUGCACAGUGUAAGACAUCGGACAGUGCAGGUGAUGCACUGAGCAGGUUGCCAGCCCAGGGUGCUCAGAGCUCCCAUUUAAGGCAGCAGUGCUAGGUUAUAUUCUGACCUACACCGUUAUGCACCAUCCACCAGUGCUGCAUCACCCAUCCUGCUGGCUGAUGCUGAAAGGAAGAAGGCAUGCUCCCAAGGGCUGGCAUCUCUUCAAAUCAGGGACUCCAGAAACCGUUGCCUCACUGAAGAAAUCGCCAUCGUUCUUCUAACUGGUUGGGUCAAUACGAGGGUGUCACUUGGGAAAUUUGGGGUUUAUUGCUCCCCUUCCCACCAUCAACUCA